rnacentral:rRNA from 1 species
GACGAACGCUGGCGGCGUGCUUAACACAUGCAAGUCGAACGAAGUGGCGAACGGGUGAGUAACGCGUAAACAACCUGCCCUUCAGAGGGGGACAACAGUUGGAAACGACUGCUAAUACCGCAUACUGAGGGAGGGGAGCGAGUCUGAUUGGCUAGGUGGAGGGGGAACGGCCCACCAAGGCGAGGAUAAGUAGCCGGUCUGGGAGGAUGAACGGCCACAUUGGGACUGAGACACGGCCCAGACUCCUACGGGAGGCAGCAGUGGGGAAUCUUCCGCAAUGGACGAAAGUCUGACGGAGCAACGCCGCGUGAGUGAUGACGGCCUUCGGGUUGUAAAGCUCUGUUGAUAGGGACGCGGUACCGGAAUAGAAAGCCACGGCUAACUACGUGCCAGCAGCCGCGGUAAUAC